rnacentral:rRNA from 1 species
CAAUUGAAGGGUUUGAUUCUGGCUCAGAAUGAACGUUGGCGGCGUGGAUUAGGCAUGCAAGUCGAGCGAGAAGUUUACUUCGGUAAAUGGACAGCGGCGAAAGGGACAGUAAUGUGUAGGUACCUACCCCCCGAUCUGGGAUAGCUGCGGGAAACUGCAGGUAAUACCGGAUAAUGUCUUCGGACCAAAGGUGUGAUUCCGUCAGGGGAGGGGCCUGCAUCCUAUUAGCUUGUUGGUGAGGUAAUGGCUCACCAAGGCAACGAUGGGUAGCGGGUGUGAGAGCAUGACCCGCGUCAUUGGGACUGAGACACUGCCCAGACAUCUACGGAUGGCUGCAGUCGAGAAUCUUCGGCAAUGGGCGAAAGCCUGACCGAGCGACGCCGCGUGCGGGAUGAAGGCCCUCGGGUUGUAAACCGCUGUCGUUGGGGAGGAAAUGCAAAAGGGUUAUCCCUUCUGUUUGACCGAUCCAAGGAGGAAGUACGGGCUAAGUUCGUGCCAGCAGCCGCGGUAAGACGAACCGUACGAACGUUAUUCGGAAUUACUGGGCUUAAAGGGUGCGUAGGCUGCACGGAAAGUUGGGUGUGAAAGCCCUCAGCUCAACUGAGGAAUUGCAUCCAAAACUGCCGUGCUAGAGGGAGACAGAGGUGAGCGGAACUCAAGGUGGAGCGGUGAAAUGCGUUGAUAUCUUGAGGAACACCGGUGGCGAAAGCGGCUCACUGGGUCUCUUCUGACGCUGAGGCACGAAAGCUAAGGUAGCAAACGGGAUUAGAUACCCCGGUAGUCUUAGCUGUAAACGAUGAGCACUUGAUUGGAGGGUCCUCCAUAGCCUUCCAGUCGUAGCGAAAGUGUUAAGUGCUCCGCCUGGGGAGUAUGGUCGCAGGGCGGAAACUCACAGAACUUUCAG